AAAAAAACGUUGAAGAGGAAAAGUAUGCAGCAGAUGCCUUUCAGAGAGAACCGUCACUUAGCUGAGAGCGGUUUAGGCCUUUCUGUCUGCAGAAGUGCCCCUCUGAGUCCGCCGCUGAAUAUAUGAGUAAGCGGUGGCGGGUCUAACCCGUUAACAAGUCAAGUUGGAAAAAUAGCUAUGCUAUUUUUCAAACAGAGUGGAACCGCGUUUUAAUACGUCUCUGUC
rnacentral:ncRNA from 1 species